CAUGAUGGAUGACUGACGGUUGGAAACCAUUUGGAAGUGGUGAGCGCGGACUCGGAAAAGAUGCUGAACCAACGAGAGCAGGUCGGCGGUGCGCCGUCGGUGGUGAGCAUCAGCCUCCUUCCUGUUGGAGUGAUAUUAAGACAGACCUUUUCCGAGCUGGUCUUGGGCCCAGUUCGCCAUCCUCCGCGACCUUUGCCAGCGAAUUCAAACACAAAGUGGAGGAAAUGUGCUGACACGUACCGCGCCUUACGUCAAAAAAACCCCGAACGCAUUCCAGAUUUUCAUGAAGGAGCAGCGGCCUUUUGUGAAGGCAGCUGCGCCAUGACAAGACAGCGCCGCUGUCAACAAGUGGAAGUCGCUGACGCCGGCUGAGCAGCUCAGAUACUUCCAAGAAUCUGAGCACCACCAGGUACCCGGACUGGACCUACAGAGACAACUACGGAAAAAAGCAAAAGAGAAAGGGGGGCAGUGCAGCCACCAGCGUAAAUCAUCUGACCGAAGCGCACGAAACGACUUGUGGUGCAAUUGAAGACAACUUUCCCCAGCAGAAGACCUGAUGCAACCUGCGGCCAGCGUCUGGCGGCCUGAGAGAUUUGGUGGUCAACUUUGGGGAAAGCGUCCUGACACUCAAGCUCCUGUCUUCAUUUGUCUUUACGGUGCCAUGACGCAAAAUCCAAUUGCGAGAAACAAAUCUUAAAUUGUCUCACUUGAGCCGUGCAGGGUAAAUCCAGCCUAAAUCAUAAGAGAUGACCCGUGGACGUCUCGGACGAACUUCCCCAGCCGCCACUGCCAUUAAAGCAAUUCCUUUUUUAACAUGUCGUAACACGCUCCCUCAAAACUCUCGUAUCUCAAGUCCUCUUUUUCCAUUGAAAUUCCCGUUCCAGCCACCCAAAAACAGCAUCAAAAUAAAAUAGCGCUUCUCCUGUCCAAACUACAGUAAUCCCCAUUAUAUAGAACGUACAGAAUUCAAAGGUUUCAGCUCACAUGUUUCAUGCUUUCAUUUCGGGCUCACCACCAUUUUUGAAACUGAGAGCUGCUGCUGAUGAAUGCAAACGGCUACCAGUUUAAAGCACAGUUCUGAAAUAACAAACAAUUUGGACUCAGGAAUUCCAUUCGUUCCGUGACCAGUAUUGCAUAUCGCAGAUGUCAAAAGCAUCACUUUUCACCUCCACACCCAAAAAAGGCCUGUUUGUUGAACCUUUAACAUUGCAUGUCAAAGAGAACACACCAUCAGCACUUUAGAUUGUUCAAUAAUUUGUAAAAAAAAAAGACACACAAAAUAAUCAUUGUAUAAA